UCUUCUUCUUCAUUCUUGAGAAAUCAAAAUAACCCUCACGCAUUCUCUUCUUCUUCUUCAUUCUUGAGAAAUCAAAAUUCUCUGUUCACCUUCUUCUUCUUCUUCUUCGUCGAUGAUACACAAUUUAUCAUCUAUUUCUAUUUAUAAUGCAUGAUCGCCGAUGAUUAUACAGAAUCAACAUUGAAGCAAAGCCCCUGAGUUCGAGUUCAUCAUCGUGGUUGAAUGAAUGACGUCUCCUUCAUCAUCGUUUCCAAUCGAGAAGGGGUCUCACACUAAAUUGAUUUUAGAAUCUCUUAAGAUGAAAAUCAAUCUAUCGAUCCCUGACGAAACAAAACGCCAAUACUCCUAUGAAACCCUAAGUAACAGAGGAAGCCCAUGUUUGCUUCUUCGCAUUGCAAUCAAAAAUCUGUCCGAUCAGAUCGAGGGAGAGAGGAUGAACAAGAUCACACAAACAAAAAAAUCAGAGUCAUGUUUCGUCGAUGUCACAAAGAAUGAAUCUUCUUCGUCAAAUUGGAUCUCGUGCAAGUGGUGGAGGUACAGAAGAACGGUGGGCUCACGUUUGACUUUGGAAUGGGGUUGGCUGUAUGGGCCUUCUUUGCUACCAACAAGUAUGAUCUGCACAGCAUUGGUGAAUGCUCCAUAAGCCAUUUCAGGAUGACCUUGAGGACUCGCGUCUGCAGAAGUUUGAUCUGUUUGGCAACCACUAAUCAAAAUACCGUUAUCCGCAAGAGAACCAUUGCUCGCGCCUGCAUAGACCUCUUGCUUGUUCCCAACAUGUGUCUUCAUCGCGGGUUUCACAUACUCUUCGUCAUCGUUUAGUUUAUGCUUAAGAAACUCUUGAGCUAGUUUCCCAAUCAUUCCCAAUAUCCCACCUUCAGUUUUACCUUCUUGCAGCUUUGUUAGAAUCACUUUCAUGAACUUCUUAACCUUUGGGGAUGCAUCUUCUCCAAACACAUUGAAAAGGGUUGGUCUGAUUUUCCCAACUUCGAUAUCAUUGUUACCUGUAUUUUGCUUGAGGAUAUCGAUUAGAGUUUGUAGAGGCAGAGAUUUGUUCACGACAUGGACUUUUGCCCCAUCUUCUAGUUUAAGCUCUUUAGUCUUGUUUUCGUCUUUCUCAUCUUUGUGGUGAGGAAUGGCGAUCCCUUUAGAUUCCAGUGCUUCUUCCACAGCUUCACGCACAAAGCCUUUGAUUCCAAGUCCUGAAGAGCCUCCAGAUUCUUUCUUUGGCUUCUUCUUCGUGCUCUCUCCGAUCUGCUCUUUAGCUUCAUCGAUGAGACCACCACUGUGACAAGAGUCUGAGAUGAUUGUAAUGUGUGCUUCCUUUGGUACUUUCUCCACAAGAUCUCUAAACUCAUCAUCUGAGAAUAUAUGAAAACGAGUGAAUUUGAAACAAUAGCAAAAAAAUCUUCUUGAAUUGAUGAAAUAAUUCAACUGAUUUUUGACCAAAUGCAUAAAAACAUAAUUCCCCUGAAUCUAAUAAUCUAACCAAAAAAACAGGACAAAGUUCAAAAAUGUCAAUGUCAAAUCUAAUUAUGACUUACCGGUGAUAAGAUUCAUAUCACAAGGAACAAUACACUCAUCAUAACCAGUAUCAUCGUCUUCUCCAGUCUCCGCCGGCAACCUCGUCCCGUGUCCACUGUAAUGGACGACAAGAACAUCACCCGGUUUAGCGGAUUCAACUAGAUUCAACAAUGCCCUUCGAAUAUUCUUCCCUGUAGGUUUGGUGGAAGACUCGUCAGUAUCAAUCAGCUCAGUGAUGUUUCUCUCGGAGAAUCCAAACCGAUCCACGAGAGAUUUGUGCACUCUCCGGACAUCGUUGACGCAUCCCCGUAGCUCCGCCUUGGUUCCAGGGUAAUUGAUUCCAAUCAACACAGCUUUCUUCGCCAUUGAAGAUAUCUCAAAACGUCUGCGUUACAAUUUUUUUAUUCUGAUCGUGAGCUGUUACAUUUGGUCCUUCAUUCUUUUAUAACAAUGUUUAACACUAUUAAAUUAAAGAAGCCUUAAUAAGGUUGCCAG